UUAAGGAAAAGAGGAUAAGGUUUUGGCAUUCUCGUCUCAAAAAUUCCAAAGGAAACCACCGCGACGUAUUCUUUACAGGAACCAGCUGAGGUUAUGGACUUUCUCCAGCGUUUGGUUGAGUGGAAACGACAGUCAAUUCGGGCCCAUUCCAUGCUGUAAAGACUAAAGAGUAGAAGAUAUAUAUAUAUAUAUAUAUAUAUAUUCCUAAUUCACCCUUCCAAGAAUUGUUCAAAGGGGUGGUUAAUUUAGUCAGAUAAUGUAAUUUUCUGUUGAGGUUAAGUUUGAAAAGACAAGAAAAAGGAAAAAGAAAAUUGUAACUUUUUCUUGGCUUCACUGCCUUGUACAUUUUGUAACUAUCCUGUACAAGGAAAUAUAUAUAUAUAUAUAUGUAUGUAUGUAUGUAACUCUGCAAGUUUAUAAAUGCAUACUAUUUGCUUGUCUUUUCAUUGGA